AAUAUUGAACAAGGGGGGGACCCCUGAUCAAGCCAUCCCGCGUGGUUAAAGAAGGCCUUGGGUUUUAAAGGCACUUUAGUUUGGGGGGAAGGGCAGUAAGUAAAUCCUUGCCUGUUUUGCGUUAACCACAGGAAAAAGCACCGCCUACUUUCUUCCCAGCGGCCGCGGUAAUACGAAGGGUGCAAGCGUUAAUCGGAAUUACUGGGCGUAAAGCGCGCGUAGGUGGUUUGUUAAGUUGGAAGUGAAAGCCCCGGGCUCAACCUGGGAACUGCUUUCAAAACUGGCAAGCUAGAGUAUGGCAGAGGGUGGUGGAAUUUCCUGUGUAGCGGUGAAAUGCGUAGAUAUAGGAAGGAACAUCAGUGGCGAAGGCGACUACCUGGACUGAUACUGACACUGAGGUGCGAAAGCGUGGGGAGCAAACAGG
rnacentral:rRNA from 1 species